AUGAAGAAGGCACGAGAGCUAGAGGUUCUUGAGAGACUGAGAGGAGCAGACACUCAUAGAUUCAUACUGACAUGGAAGGAAAAUAGAGAUAUCAGAUUCACUGUGGACUACACCCCAGGUAACUUAGAAAAAACUGUCAAGUGCAGUUGCAGAAGCAUGUAUCGCAAAGGACUUCCUUGCAAACAUAUUCUUCACGUUCUGAUUCAGCUACGCUUACGUGAGAUACCUAAGUGUUUAGUACUGCGGAGGUUGAGCCAAGUUGCAAGGGGUGGACUUCCCGUGAAGCGCACUAGCGAUCUGUUUGCAUGGGGAUGGGCAGGUGCAGGGGACAGAGCUAGGUACAGCGAGUUGUCUAUCUUAUCUGCUGAAGCAACUCAUAAAGCAUGUCAUAAACCAUUUUUAUUCGACAAGUUGAAGGCGGCUCUGAGGGACAUAAUAGAUAAUGAUUACACUGAGGAGGAUGAGCCUGGUGCGGAGGUACAGUUUGUGAACGACGAUGCAUUCGAGCCUAAUCAAGACCAUGGUCUUGUUCGUGAUCCCGCAAAAGUUAACACCAAAGGCGCACCAAAACAGAAUGUUCAAGGCCGCGGUAAGGAUGGUCCUGAUGUCACUAAAAAUGGGCGACCAAAAGCUUUUGAUGAGAAAAGCAAACGUCAAUGUGGACUGUGCGGUGUUACGGGUCAUUAUAGGUCCACGUGCCCUCAAAAUCCUAAGUAUGAUUUUCUUAUGUUAUUGUAUAUAUUAUUGUUCAAACCGAAUUUAUUUGUUCAUUGUGAAUUAACACAUAUCUUAUUGUUAUGUAGGAACUUUGCUUAA
rnacentral:rRNA from 1 species